UACGGGGGGGGCAAGCGUUGUUCGGAAUUACUGGGCGUAAAGGGCUCGUAGGCGGCCAACUAAGUCGGACGUGAAAUCCCUCGGCUUAACCGGGGAACGGCGUCCGAUACUGGAUGGCUUGAGUUUGGGAGAGGGAUGCGGAAUUCCAGGUGUAGCGGUGAAAUGCGUAGAUAUCUGGAGGAACACCGGUGGCGAAGGCGGCAUCCUGGACCAAAACUGACGCUGAGGCGCGAAAGCCAGGGGAGCAAACGGG
rnacentral:rRNA from 1 species